rnacentral:rRNA from 1 species
UACAGAGGGUGCAAGCGUUGUUCGGAAUUACUGGGCGUAAAGCGCGUGUAGGUGGUUGUCCAAGUUGGAUGUGAAAGCCUUGAGCUCAACUCAAGAAAUGCAUUCAGGACUGGAUGGCUAGAGGACCGGAGAGGAUAGUGGAAUUCCCAGUGUAGUGGUGAAAUACGUAGAGAUUGGGAAGAACACCAGUGGCGAAGGCGGCUAUCUGGACGGUUUCUGACACUAAGACUCGAAAGCGUGGGGAGCAAACAGG